GGGCUGGGGCUGAGCGGCAGAGUGCUCUCCUGGCACGUGUGAGGCCCUGGGUUCGAUCCUCAGCACCACA
rnacentral:tRNA from 1 species